UACAGAGGGUGCGAGCGUUAAUCGGAAUUACCGGGCGUAAAGCGUGCGUAGACGGUUAUUUAAGUCAGGUGUGAAAGCCCCGGGCUCAACCUGGGAAUUGCAUUUGAGACUGAAUAGCUAGGGUGCGGAAGAGGGAAGCGGAAUUUCCGGUGUAGCGGUGAAAUGCGUAGAUAUCGGAAGGAACACCAGUGGCGAAAGCGGCUUCCUGGUCCAGCACCGACGUUCAGGCACGAAAGCGUGGGGAGCAAACAGG
rnacentral:rRNA from 1 species